GAUGAACGCUAGCGAUAGGCUUAAUACAUGCAAGUCGAGGGGCAGCACAAGGUAGCUUGCUAUCUGGGUGGCGACCGGCGCACGGGUGCGUAACGCGUAUGCAACUUGCCCUAUACAGGAGGAUAACCCGUCGAAAGACGGACUAAUACUGCGUAUGCCCACAACUUGGCAUCAAGUGGUGAGGAAAGAAAUUCGGUAUAGGAUAGGCAUGCGUCCCAUUAGCUUGUUGGUGAGGUAACGGCUCACCAAGGCAACGAUGGGGAGGGGAACUGCGAGGUUUUUCCCCCACGCUGGUACGGAGACACUGACCAGACUCCUACGGGAGGCAGCAGUGAAGAAUAUAGGUCAAUGGGCGCGAGCCUGAGCCAGCCAAGUCGCGUGAAGGAAGACUGUCCUGUGGAUUGUAAACUUCUUUUAUACGGGAAUAACAAGAGUCACGUGUGACUCCCUGCAAGUACCGUAUGAAUAAGCAUCGGCUAACUCCGUG
rnacentral:rRNA from 1 species